UUGGAGGGCAAGUCUGGUGCCAGCAGCCGCGGUAAUUCCAGCUCCAAUAGCGUAUAUUAAAGUUGUUGCAGUUAAAAAGCUCGUAGUUGAAUUUCGGGAUCAAUAUAUCGGUCAUGCUUAGGUAUGUACUGGUAUUAUUGAUUUCUCCCUUCUGAAGAACCAUGAUGUCAUUUAUUUGAUGUCGUGGGGAAUCAGGACUGUUACUUUGAAAAAAUUAGAGUGUUUAAAGCAGGCUUUCGCUUGAAUACAUUAGCAUGGAAUAAUGAAAUAGGACGUUUGAUUCUAUUUUGUUGGUUUCUAGGAUCGACGUAAUGAUUAAUAGGGAUAGUUGGGGGCAUUAGUAUUCAAUUGUCAGAGGUGAAAUUCUUGGAUUUAUUGAAGACUAACUACUGCGAAAGCAUUUGCCAAGGAUGUUUUCAUUAAUCAAGAACGAAAGUUAGGGGAUCGAAGACGAUCAGAUACCGUCGUAGUCUUAACCAUAAACUAUGCCGACUAGGGAUCGG
rnacentral:rRNA from 1 species